ACACUGCUGAGGAGUCCCAUAAUAGAACGAAACGGUUUUCCAGUAA
rnacentral:hammerhead_ribozyme from 1 species